AGGGAAGUUCCAGAUGCAGGUGCUACCUCAGUGUGGCCAUGCAGUCCAUGAGGAUGCCCCAGACAAGGUAGCUGAAGCUGUUGCCACUUUCCUGAUCCGGCACAGGUUUGCAGAGCCCAUCAGCGGGUUCCAGUGCGUGUUCCCCGGCUGUUAGUGACCUGUUCUCUGUCCCUUCCUCAGCAUUGAGCUCUGUUGUAAAUACAUCGCACCAGAGGCCACUGUGAUGCCGCUGUCUCCUCACCAUCCUGCCCGACCAUGUGACACCGGCUCCCUAUAGACGGGCAUCCUAGAUGUAUAAACCUUUUGUGUAUUCCUGCCAAAAGCAUUGUUUUCCAGGGCCUUUGACCAACCUCAGCCUCCUAGUCCAAGGCUCCCCAGCAGCUACCCUCUCCCUGUCCAGGGGUUACCCUGUCCCCCUGCCUUGGCCUAGGGUGAAACCUCCAAGAGAGCUGCCACCCUGGGCCCCCCAUUCCUGGCGUUAGGCCCAGGUCCAAAUGUCUCCCUGGGCACAGGGCCCUCCAUUCCUUGAGAUUGUUCUUGGCGUGGUCCUGCCCUAACUCAUGGGAUGGAACAUGCUCAGGGUGGUCCUUAUUUCCCCUUGCAGAUAAAACACCAGUAGGUAACUUUUUAUCCCAGUCUUACUCUUCCAAGCUUGGAAACCCAGAGAGGCCGGGAUCCCAUACUUAGUACAGGGAGGGGUGGUGGAUAGCAUCACAAGACACCAGUCUGAAAGGCAGGCCCAGCAGUCCAAGCACAUGGCCUCCCACCUGGGGAGAGCCCAUCGUCACACUCCCACAUCUGGGCACCUGCCCUGGGCUGAGACCAGGCUGCUCCGAGGGUCUCUGGAGCCUUUAUUUGCCACAGAGCAACCCAGGUUAAAUACAGCCCGUGCACAAGGCCACAGGCCAGAGCCUGUGGAGUUGUUUUUAAGAAUCAAAUUUAACCAUUUUCGUAAUUGGUCCUUGGAGGUGUGCAGAGUGCCCGCUUGCCUCUCCUAGACCCAGCUUAUCUUCUGUUUUUGUGGUUUCCAUGUCCCUCUUCGUAGAGGCAGUCCAGCCCCAGCAUCCUCAGUCUUUGCCGCUCCAGCUGCUUCAGCACAGCACUGCAGCUUCCCGCUGCUGGCCAGGCCCCCGGCUCCCCAGGGCAGGACGGGCAGUCUCCUGCAGCCCAUCUUUUCUGUGACCAUCUUCGGUGAUACGUAGCCCCCUCCACCUUUCCACCCAACAGCUUCCUGUCCCUGUCCUGCUGCAUGGUCCAGAGUCUCGGACCUACUUGUUUCUUUGUUAUUUAUGACCUUGUUUAAAGAAAAUAAAUAUCUCCCAACCUUUA